rnacentral:lncRNA from 1 species
UGUGGUGGCAACCAACAUGGUGAUCUACAGAUGAGGCAAAUGUUCCUUGAGGGAGUUGAUGAUCCGCCUAGAUGCACCCCAACCUGGGGCUGCCUGUUCUGAAAGACUUCAUCCAUUGCCUCCAGGCUCAGUGAGCUGUGGAGCUACUUCCUCUUGGAACUGGCUGGGCAGCCUUGGAAAGAGCACAGAGAGAAAAGGCUCAGCCUGCCUGUGAUGGAUGGAAUUAAUCUACCAAGCUGGAGAAACUAAAUAAUUAAAUUCCUAAUCACCGUCUAAGCCUGUGAGGCCAAUAUAACUGAGGGAGGGAGAGGGCUCUGAGGCCCAGAUCAAUAACCUAGAGAGGACGAAGGGCGUGAGAAGAGAGGCAUAGGCAGACCCUUUAGACCGGGGAGUAACACCAGGAAGCAGCCAGACAGACGUGCUUCAC